CUGGCUAUGCAGAGAUGACUCAAGGUGAAGUGGUCCAAGCAGGACCCCUCCCCACUGGAUGGACAGCUCAAUGAGUGGAACUAUAGGCACUCAUACAGGCUCUCUGAUGGACAAAAGAAGUUUGGAGACCAAAACUAGAAAAGGAACUAGGCUAAGAGGACUGCCAACAUUUUGGCCCUAGGCCCUCGAUAUCAACAAGAAUCCAGGACAUGAAGGAACCUUUUCUACAGGAUCCUACAUCUUUGCCAUCUUCCAAAAUAGAUCAGAAUGGCCUGCUCAACAUUGGGCAGACGGAGAAGACACCUGAGGAGGUAAAGUCAAGUUUCUGCAGCUCGAGCAUGUUGAAAAGUGACACUACAGAAUCUGUCCCUAGGACUCAAGUGAAGGUCUCUGUUCUAAUCCGUGAAGUUCCAUAAUGUAAUAUUCUUUUCCUGGGAAGGCAGAAGGUGUGAUUUAGAAGGAAAAGAGCAGGCUUUGGAGUUGAAGAAUGACCGACUACCCAACUACUAUGCGACUACUGUCCAAGUGUGGAGUUCUAGCCCCACAUUGAAGAGAGUUGAUUUGCCGCCUGAGCUGCAUUCUCCUUGUAUGUAAAAUGAAAUUCAUUUCUCCAACAAAUGUCUAACCCGCACCUGCUCAGUAAUCUGUCAUUCCUGUGGUAGGUGCAACAGGUGAGUUUUAUCCAUGAAGUGCCCAUUGCUAAAUUUCUGUACAUUUGGGAUUUAUUUUUUUAAAUUUUCUGUUGAUUUUUCUAGUAGAAGUAGCCCAAUUCAAUACAAUGGCACAUGAAAAAUCAGAUUUGCAAGUUUUGGAGAAGGUCAAAAGUGAAUUAUCAGAUCAUUCAUGCAUGGAUGAUGAUAAAGCCUUUGAUGCUGGCCAUGUGAACCAAAGUUCCUGUGAUAGUGAAAUAGAGCAAGAAUCAACUGAUACCAACACAGGGAAGACAGAUCUUGAUUCUGAUGACAAAGAAAACAGCAAUGUGGGUGUAUAGCUGACUAGUUAAAAUGUUGCAAAAUGGCCAGACAAUCAAAUGGACAAUCCAACAUUUGUAUUAGGUCCGAAAAUAUAGUGAGGAUCUUGGCAGGGGCAAAACCUAUUGGAGAAAAUGCCGGCACUGCCAUUUAAAUUGUAACAGAUGAAAUGCUACAAGAUGUUGUGAAAUUCACAAAGGCUCAAAUACAACUAAAAUGUUCUGUAUGCACCAAUAGCCAUAUUCAAAAGAAAUAUUUAU